rnacentral:rRNA from 1 species
GAUGAACGCCGGCGGCGUGCCUAAUACAUGCAAGUCGAGCGAACGGACGAGAAGCUUGCUUCUCUGAUGUUAGCGGCGGACGGGUGAGUAACACGUGGAUAACCUACCUAUAAGACUGGGAUAACUUCGGGAAACCGGAGCUAAUACCGGAUAAUAUUUUGAACCGCAUGGUUCAAAAGUGAAAGACGGUCUUGCUGUCACUUAUAGAUGGAUCCGCGCUGCAUUAGCUAGUUGGUAAGGUAACGGCUUACCAAGGCAACGAUGCAUAGCCGACCUGAGAGGGUGAUCGGCCACACUGGAACUGAGACACGGUCCAGACUCCUACGGGAGGCAGCAGUAGGGAAUCUUCCGCAAUGGGCGAAAGCCUGACGGAGCAACGCCGCGUGAGUGAUGAAGGUCUUCGGAUCGUAAAACUCUGUCAUUAGGGAAGAACAUAUGUGUAAGUAACUGUGCACAUCUUGACGGUACCUAAUCAGAAAGCCACGGCUAACUACGUG